CCGGAUUUUAGCUCCACACUGUCACCAGCCAGACUCCCCACCACAGUGACACAAACCAACCAGCCGCCUCGAGAGGUUGCUGAAGAGGUAUGCAGCGAUGGUCUGGAGGAAAAAAUAGUCACAUGGACUGGUGUGCAUUCCAGUACUUGAAAUGAUGCUGUUGCUCAGGCACAUCCAGGUGCGAGGAUGGGGGAGAUCCGGAUGUCGCUAAAUAAAAGAAUCUGUGAACUGCUUCACCAAGAGAAAAAGAAGUCCAUGGACAGGCCUAUGAGCCCUCUUGUUGACUUUGAGUGACUGAGGCUGCGGGCGGUCUGCCCCUGAAUUCACCUUCACUUUCUUUUCUUUUAAAAAAAAAUAUAUCUGAAGGUGUGGGUGUGUGUGUGUGUGUGCGCGCGCG